rnacentral:rRNA from 1 species
GGAGUUUGGACCGUCUCUCAGUUCCAAUGUGGCCGGUCAUCCUCUCAGAUCGGCUACCGAUCGUCGACUUGGUGGGCCGUUACCUCACCAACUAUCUAAUCGGACGCGAGCCCACCCCAAACCGGUUUGCACCUUUUACCCCUGGAAGAUGUCUCCCCGUGGUCUUAUGCGGUAUUAGCACCUGUUUCCAAGUGUUAUCCCCCUGUCUGGGACAGGUUGCUCACGCGUUACUCACCCGUCCGCCACUAGAAUUAUAAAAAAUCCUGCCGAAGCUCUCAUUCUCAUAAUCCCCGUUCGACUUGCAUGUGUUAAGCACGCCGCCAGCGUGUCCUCGAGCCACGGAUCAAACUACU